GACGAACGCUGGCGGCGUGCUUUACACAUGCAAGUCGAAUGGAAAGGCCCUGCUUUUGUGGGGUGCUCGAGUGGCGAACGGGUGAGUAACACGUGAGUAACCUGCCCUUGACUUUGGGAUAACUUCAGGAAACUGGGGCUAAUACCGGAUAGGAGCUCCUGCUGCAUGGUGGGGGUUGGAAAGUUUCGGCGGUUGGGGAUGGACUCGCGGCUUAUCAGCUUGUUGGUGGGGUAGUGGCUUACCAAGGCUUUGACGGGUAGCCGGCCUGAGAGGGUGACCGGCCACAUUGGGACUGAGAUACGGCCCAGACUCCUACGGGAGGCAGCAGUGGGGAAUAUUGCACAAUGGGCGGAAGCCUGAUGCAGCAACGCCGCGUGCGGGAUGACGGCCUUCGGGUUGUAAACCGCUUUCGCCUGUGACGAAGCGUGAGUGACGGUAAUGGGUAAAGAAGCACCGGCUAACUACGUG
rnacentral:rRNA from 1 species